UGUCUGCUUUGUUUCGUUAGUUCCUUUCAAAUUGUAUCCAAUGAGGACAGAGACAACCAGGUGAGGGGAGUGGCUAAUUAAUAUGACCUUAAUUGAUAAAGUACAAGGGAGAAAGGAAAACUUGCAGACACUCAGCCUUCCAGGUAAUUGAGUAAACACCCCUGUUAUAACCCUCAGCCCUCCAGGUAAUUGAGUAAACACCCCUGUUAUAACCCUCAGCCCUCCAGGUAAUUGAGUAAACACCCCUGUUAUAACCCUCAGCCCUCCAGGUAAUUGAGUAAACACCCCUGUUAUAACCCUCAGCCCUCCAGGUAAUUGAGUAAACACCCCUGUUAUAACCCUCAGCCCUCCAGGUAAUUGAGUAAACACCCCUGUUAUAACCCUCAGCCCUCCAGGUAAUUGAGUAAACACCCCUGUUAUAACCCUCAGCCCUCCAGGUAAUUGAGUAAACACCCCUGUUAUAAC